CCGAGUCUUAAUUGGGCGUUAAGUUGCAGGGUAUAGACCCGAAACCCGGUGAUCUAGCCAUGGGCAGGUUGAAGGUUGGGUAACACUAACUGGAGGACCGAACCGACUAAUGUUGAAAAAUUAGCGGAUGACCUGUGGCUGGGGGUGAAAGGCCAAUCAAACCGGGAGAUAGCUGGUUCUCCCCGAAAGCUAUUUAGGUAGCGCCUCGUGAAUUCAUCUCCGGGGGUAGAGCACUGUUUCGGCUAGGGGGCCAUCCCGGCUUACCAACCCGAUGCAAACUGCGAAUACCGGAGAAUGUUAUCACGGGAGACACACGGCGGGUGCUAACGUCCGUCGUGAAGAGGGAAACAACCCAGACCGCCAGCUAAGGUCCCAAAGUCAUGGUUAAGUGGGAAACGAUGUGGGAAGGCCCAGACAGCCAGGAUGUUGGCUUAGAAGCAGCCAUCAUUUAAAGAAAGCGUAAUAGCUCACUGGUCGAGUCGGCCUGCGCGGAAGAUGUAACGGGGCUAAACCAUGCACCGAAGCUGCGGCAGCGAACGUAUCACCCAAGACAACUUUACGGAGUUGACGAUUGACGGAGCGAAGCGACGUCAAAGCGUUCAUUAAAGUCGAGUUGGCUUAGGGAUACGUUCGUUGGGUAGGGGAGCGUUCUGUAAGCCUGUGAAGGUGUGUCGUGAGGCAUGCUGGAGGUAUCAGAAGUGCGAAUGCUGACAUAAGUAACGAUAAAGCGGGUGAAAAGCCCGCUCGCCGGAAGACCAAGGGUUCCUGUCCAACGUUAAUCGGGGCAGGGUGAGUCGACCCCUAAGGCGAGGCCGAAAGGCGUAGUCGAUGGGAAACGGGUUAAUAUUCCCGUACUUGGUGUUACUGCGAAGGGGGGACGGAGAAGGCUAUGUUGGCCGGGCGACGGUUGUCCCGGUUUAAGCGUGUAGGUGUGUGUUCCAGGUAAAUCCGGUUCACUUUAACACUGAGGCGUGACGACGAGGCACUACGGUGCUGAAGCAACAAAUGCCCUGCUUCCAGGAAAA
rnacentral:rRNA from 1 species